GAUGAACGCUGGCGGCGUGCCUAAUACAUGCAAGUCGGGCGAAUGGAUUAAGAGCUUGCUCUUAUGAAGUUAGCGGCGGACGGGUGAGUAACACGUGGGUAACCUGCCCAUAAGACUGGGAUAACUCCGGGAAACCGGGGCUAAUACCGGAUAACAUUUUGAACCGCAUGGUUCGAAAUUGAAAGGCGGCUUCGGCUGUCACUUAUGGAUGGACCCGCGUCGCAUUAGCUAGUUGGUGAGGUAACGGUUCACCAAGGCAACGAUGCGUAGCUGACCUGAGAGGGUGAUCGGCCACACUGGGACUGAGACACGGCCCAGACUCCUACGGGAGGCAGCAGUAGGGAAUCUUCCGCAAUGGACGAAAGUCUGACGGAGCAACGCCGCGUGAGUGAUGAAGGCUUUCGGGUCGUAAAACUCUGUUGUUAGGGAAGAACAAGUGCUAGUUGAAUAAGCUGGCACCUUGACGGUACCUAACCAGAAAGCCACGGCUAACUACGUGCCAGCCGCCGCGGUAA
rnacentral:rRNA from 1 species